GAUGAACGCUGGCGGCGUGCCUAAUACAUGCAAGUCGAGCGAACGGACGAGAAGCUUGCUUCUCUGAUGUUAGCGGCGGACGGGUGAGUAAAACGUGGAUAACCUACCUAUAAGACUGGGAUAACUUCGGGAAACCGGAGCUAAAACCGGAUGAUAUUUUGAACCGCAUGGUUCAAAAGUGAAAGACGGUCUUGCUGUCACUUAUACAUGGAUCCGCGCUGCAUUAGCUAGUUGGUAAGGUAACGGCUUACCAAGGCAACGAUGCAUAGCCGACCUGAGAGGGUGAUCGGCCACACUGGAACUGAGACACGGUCCAGACUCCUACGGGAGGCAGCAGUAGGGAAUCUUCCGCAAUGAGCGAAGGCCUGACGGAGCAACGCCGCGUGAGUGAUGAAGGUCUUCGGAUCGUAAAACUCUGUUAUUAGGGAAGAACAUAUGUGUAAGUAACUGUGCACAUCUUGACGGUACCUAAUCAGAAAGCCACGGCUAACUACGUG
rnacentral:rRNA from 1 species